rnacentral:misc_RNA from 1 species
GAUGAAGAACGUAGCGAAAUGCGAUAAGUAAUGUGAAUUGCAGAAUUCAGUGAAUCAUCGAAUCUUUGAACGCACCUUGCGCUCCUUGGCAUUCCGAGGAGCAUGCCUGUUUGAGUGUCAUUAAAUUCUCAAGACCUGUCUGCUUUUUUGAUAGGUAUUGGAUUUUGGGGGUUGCAGGCUGUUUCAAAUAAAUAGCCUUGCUCUCCUUGAAUGUAUUAGUGGAGAAAAGCCAUUGAACUCCAUUGGUGUGAUAAAACCUAUCAAUGCCAGGAGCAAUAUCACUACUUCUCUCUGCUGUCUAACUGUGACUGUCUGUAUUAAUUAGUAUGGAUAGGGACAACUUGACCAACUUGACCUCAAAUCAGGUAGGACUACCCGCUGAACUUAAGCAUAUCAAUAAGCGGAGGA